AACGCACGAGACCUGCGGACCUGCGGAGGGAUCAUUACUGAGUUAUCCAACUCCCAACCCCUGUGAAUUAUACCUUUAAUUGUUGCUUCGGCGGGACUUCGCGCCCGCCGGGGACCCAAACCUUCUGAAUUUUUUAAUAAGUAUCUUCUGAGUGGUUAAAAAAAUGAAUCAAAACUUUCAACAAUGGAUCUCU
rnacentral:misc_RNA from 1 species